AACGAACGCUGGCGGCGUGCUUAACACAUGCAAGUCGAACGCGAAAGUUUCCUUCGGAAGACGAGUAGAGUGGCGCACGGGUGAGUAACGCGUAAGUAAUCUGCCCUGGUAUCUGGGAUAACCCACCGAAAGGUGUGCUAAUACCGGAUACGCUGAGCAAUCAGGAAAGGUGGCCUCUUCAUGAAAGCUACUGUACCAGGAGGAGCUUGCGUACCAUUAGCUAGUUGGUAGGGUAAUGGCCUACCAAGGCAACGAUGGUUAGCGGGUCUGAGAGGAUGAUCCGCCACACUGGAACUGAAACACGGACCAGACUCCUACGGGAGGCAGCAGUGAGGAAUAUUGCGCAAUGGGGGAAACCCUGACGCAGCGACGCCGCGUGGAUGGAUGAAGGCCUCGGUCGGUAAAUACCUGUCUAGAUGGAAGAAAUAGUAGUAUAGCCGUAAUACGUAGUACGUA
rnacentral:rRNA from 1 species